GGUUUGUCGUGCUGAUAUUUUCGAGCUUUAGUGAAGAUGACGACAAGUUUACGCAAUUUCUGGGAAGUUGUCUGAAGCUGCGCAUUGAGUUUUCUACCCCUGUGCAACAAGUUUGAUGGCCUACUUAUACAUUUGUUGAUAUUGUCAAAUACAAGGAUGAAGAGUAUGAGAAGUGUUGUGCAAUAUAUAUUUUCCACGUAGCAUACCCCCAAGUCAAAGACGAUA